AAACCGGCAGCGGUAUCACGUAUUUCGCAGACAAUUAGCAGAAGACAAAUAUUGUGCAAAUAUUGCUGUCAACUGUCCAUUUCGUAUUACGGACUUACAACAAAAAAGCAGAUCGCGGACCAUCACUAGUGCUGCCUCUGCAGAGCGAUUUGUGAAACUUUAGUGCAUUCUUUUCCAUACAACUAACAACAACUGGCAUAAAGUCGGUAUUACGGAUGCUUUUGUCUGCCACACAACAGCAGAUAUUUAGCAAUUUCGUUUGUCAAAUUUGCGACACCUUUUGUAUCUGGUGCUGAAUUGUUGCUAACUAUCUGCAAGUGUAAAAUUUGUGAAAUUAAAUUAUUUUAACUUGAUUUAGAUAUGUUACUAUGGACAGAGCUCCAAUGAUAAAUGGGGCUUUGGAGUCUAAGGAAAUUAGGUCGAAUACAUACGAAUCAGUGCGUUUGCGACGCUGUCUUCGCGAUCAAGCCUGACCCCUUAAUCUAUCGGAAAGUUUGUUCAGAACACAUUACAGAAUUUCGAAACAUCAAUAUUUACAAUUGUGCUCUGAAUGAAAGCCGUUAAUAACCUAGAUCAUCAAGACGAACAAGAAUAGAAAGUAAAAUGCAAGGUGUUAACAGCAUUGCAAAAUUUGAUACCAGAAAUCUGUGGGAAUGAGCUUUUUGCAUUUUGAGUUAAACUGUAGUAAAUGCAAUGCCAUUAGGGAAGUGGCUAUGGCAUUAAACAAUCUUUCAGUUUUAUUGAAAUAUUCAAAGUUUCCGCAAACAGUACAAGUUAUUAUAAAUGGGUUUUACAAUAAAUUUUGCUUUUCUGAGGUUUUGGGGUGUAUAGAUGGCACUCAUUUGCACUUAUCAGAUCUUCUGUAUAUGAAGAAAGGUUUUAGAACCGCAAGCAUUAUCAUUUCAAGAAUGUGCAAAUAAUCUGUGAUAGUGAUCUUAACAUUUUAAGUAUUGAUGCACCAUUUCAUGAUACAUUUGUCUGGCUUAACACUGAACUGAAUAUGCUUAUGCAGGACCUGCACCAUAAUGAUAAAAAAGUUUUGUUUUUAGGCAAGUAAAACAUCAUGAGCUCUGUCUCAGUAACCUGACUACAAAAUAAUACUCAAUCUAAAAGUAUAUUUAAAACUGGGAAGGCCAUUAAUAUAUAGUACUAUAGUAAUGUUUAUUGUCAUACCAGGAACACUGUUGACCAUUGUGAGUAUUGAAAGCCAGUUGGAGAUGCUUGUUGGCACAUAGAGUACUGCAUUAUGAUUAUCAUAUGAUGGCCAAGACCAUAAUUGUUAGCUUGUAUUGCAUAACAUGGCAAACACAAAUGGGUUUCCAGUGCCCCAACUCUCUGAUGAAGAUGCUGAAAUUGAUGUUUCUUAUCAAAUUCAUAACAUUGUAUAUUUUGGGAGAGAAGAGGAAACACAGCACUUAGCACCAUGUCAACAUUCAAGGGUGGUUCAAUUGGAUUGUGGAGAACAGACAUUAAAUUUAUCCAACCUCUGUAUUCUAGUAAUUUUAUGUAGAUAUUUUUAAAACUGCUGUUCUUAAUUAUGUAAACUGAGAGGGCAAGAAUAGCCUAAUUAUUUCUGCUUAUAAUUUUUUAAUUGUGCUUAGUGGAAAUAUACAAACUAUUUGAAAGCAAAAUUGUGAGGUUGUUUUAUUAAGACAAUGUUUUAAUCUGUCGUGCUCAAUUUGUUCUGUAUCAUUUUAUCUUUAUGUUAACCCCGUUUGUAUGUUGUGUUGUUAUAUAUAUUAUUGUAUAUAC